rnacentral:lncRNA from 1 species
GGGACAUACGAGAAUACAUAGACCUUUAGGCACCAGCACAUGAGCCCAAUGCUACCCAAUACGUAUAAAAUGGAACGAUUCAAAGUAAAAAAGAAUUAUGAUAGCAUGUUUCCAAAUAGGCGAAUAGUAAUGGUGUUUUUCAAAUUUGCAAAAUUGCAAUGACAGCCUUGUUUACUUCUAAAAAAUUUUCAAAAUUUCUCGUCAC